rnacentral:rRNA from 1 species
AGCUCCAAUAGCGUAUAUUAAAGUUGUUGCAGUUAAAAAGCUCGUAGUCGAAUUUUUGGUGAGAGCAGAUGGUCAACUUUUUAAGUUGUACUAACUGCUCGAUCCUUUUCCUGGGGAUGUCUUUCGGGACUUUUUUCCAGGGUUUUACUUUGAAGAAAUUAGAGUGUUUAAGGCAAGCAUGUGCUUGAAUACAUUAGCAUGGAAUAAUAGAAUAGGACUUUGGUUUUAUUUUGUUGGUUUUAAGAACCAAAGUAAUGAUUAAUAGGGAUAGUUGGGGGCAUUAGUAUUCAAGAGUCAGAGGUGAAAUUCUUGGAUUUCUUGAAGACUAACUACUGCGAAAGCAUUUGCCAAGGAUGUUUUCAUUG